rnacentral:rRNA from 2 species
UACGAAGGGGGCUAGCGUUGCUCGGAAUCACUGGGCGUAAAGGGCGCGUAGGCGGUCUUUUAAGUCGGGGGUGAAAGCCUGUGGCUCAACCACAGAAUUGCCUUCGAUACUGGAAGACUUGAGACCGGAAGAGGACAGCGGAACUGCGAGUGUAGAGGUGAAAUUCGUAGAUAUUCGCAAGAACACCAGUGGCGAAGGCGGCUGUCUGGUCCGGUUCUGACGCUGAGGCGCGAAAGCGUGGGGAGCAAAC